GUUUACUCUAGUGCGACGGUGAGUACACGUGAGAUUGCCUUAGAGGGGAUACAAUUAGAAUGAAUGCUAAUACCCAUAUGCUUUGAGUGAAAUGGAUUUAUAUUUAUCUGCCUAAAGAGAAGCUCGCGGCUGAUUAGCUUGUUGGUAAGGUAAGAGCUUACCAAGGCGACGAUCAGUAUCUGGUUUGAGAGGACGAUCAGACACACUGGAACUUAGACACGGUCCAGACUCCUACGGGAGGCAGCAGUGGGGAAUUUUCCGCAAUGGGCGAAAGCNUGACGGAGCAAUACCGCGUGAGGGAAGACUGCCUAUGGGUUGUAAACCUCUUUUUUCAGGGAGGAAUAAAAUGACGUGUACCUGAAGAAUAA
rnacentral:rRNA from 1 species